UACAGAGGGGGCAAGCGUUGUUCGGAAUUAUUGGGCGUAAAGCGCGUGUAGGCGGCUUUGCAAGUCGGGUGUGAAAGCCCUCAGCUCAACUGAGGAAGUGCGCCCGAAACUGCAGAGCUUGAGUACCGGAGAGGAUGGUGGAAUUCCCCAAGUAGAGGUGAAAUUCGUAGAUAUGGGGAGGAACACCGGUGGCGAAGGCGACCAUCUGGACGGAUACUGACGCUGAGACGCGAAAGCAUGGGGAGCAAACAGG
rnacentral:rRNA from 1 species